ensembl:misc_RNA
CAGACAGCCCUGGAGACCAAAGUCAUCUUCUCCUUAUCUGCAGGACAGGCACAGCAUGGGCAGCAGCACAUGCUUCCCCUGCAUCACACUUUUCCAAUGUGCUUCAAGUCUGAUCCAGGAGGGAGCUCCUCCAGUGCUGAUUGGGGACGUCAGUAACCCAGACCCAUUCAGUCCUUGGCCAAU